CUGUCUAAUUACUCUUUGCUGGUUUAUUGAAGUGAUUAACUCACAACUCCAGCUUGUAUCCUGGUGAAGGAAAGUACUCGGCUGCAUUUAAACUACUUCACUUGCACACCUUGGCAAAAGCGCUGCUUGUUGUCUUCCUACCUGGCUUCCUCUGACGUCUCUGCAAGCCAUUCACUCCUCACACGCUGCUCAGGCCUGGCAGCGUUCCAACUUCACAGCGUGCACAGACUUCCAGCUGCUCUGACACAGCCUUCCGGAUCUCAAGCACUCACAGUGCCUUCAGCUUGCAACAAGUAUAGCGACACAUGAGGUUAUCAGAUGUAGUUGCUGUGGGGAGCCCAGAGGGAUCCAGCACCAAUGGUGACCUGCCUUUUCAGGCUUCGGAGAUUGAUGUAACAUGUGGGAUGGAGAAGGAAG